CCAGUUUAUGUGACUGCACUCGCUGCUGCGGGGUGACGAUAAUCAUGUAGCAGCGGCUGCUUCAGUGAAUAAAGUGAGACGGUGUGUGCUUCGUGUAGUUUUCAUUUCUGAAAUCUAAAAUUUACACUGAACUCCAGUGUUAGCGUGGAGCUAUUCUGGCAUCAAAUCCCUGAACCUUACAAACUGUGAGCGGCGGCAUGCUCAGCUGUGUUAUGGCAAAGGAGGACCAGCUGACACCCAGCAUGGUCCGACCAACCUGAGAACCAAAGUGUGUUAUUGGACUAUGUAAAGCCUAAGUAUACAAAUACAGGCUAUUUACCAUUUAUUUAUCACUGAAUUAAACUAAACUAACAGCAGUCUUUCUUCUGCUUCUCCUGAACAUUAAGUACCUGUCUCAGCUGAUAUUGAUCUUCUGUGAUUCAAAUUCAGAUCUGUGGUUAAUCAAAUUAUCUACAACCAAUUGACACGCCGCAAACUCAGAGCUUUGGAGGCCAGACGCAGCUGACCGCUCUGCACGGCCGUUAAUCCAACCUUGGCUCAUAGAUUUGUUCUGUACCCAGAGUUGGACCGACGGUUGGGUUCUGGUGCACCAAAUCAGUACUGAAUCUGACUGACCAACUCUGUUACUCUUUUCUGCUUAUAAUUGAUUAAUUGUGUUACUUUGUUUACUUUAAGAAAACAUUUCGGGCUUCUUUCAGUUUCCAAUGUGUCGAACACACCGGAAACACAGAUGUUUAGAAGAAAUCAUCAGUCUUGUCUGCAGUUGGUGAGCCUGAUGCAGGCAGUAAUGCACAUCUACGAGCCACGUGCAUGUUUGAUUUGUCAACUCUACAUUUACAAAGUUUCUUCUUUUCUGGAAACCGAGCCUGGUUUUAUGAUUUUAAUAGUCAAUGUUUUAUUGGGGUGUAGUUCAUGUUUUAAGAAAAAGAGGACAUCUUUAAAAGAAGUUCAAACCUGAUGGAAAUACGUCAUCUCUGCUAGUUUCUGUGCAAACACAGCUGAUGGUUUUGACUCUACAGUAGGAUGCUGAAGUCACAUGAUGAAUAAAUGAUGGACGUAGCCAUCGUGAUGUCACCUGUUAGUUUGUAAAGACUGAAGCUGAGCCCACUGACCAUCAUCAUCUUAUCUUAAGAAGAUGUCACAUUAGAGGGAUACUGGAUGCUUAUACGCUAGCGACUUGUCGAUCACACCCAGCUUUACUGUCCUUCUGGGAACUAAUGGACUUUGAUUAGAGUUGAAACACACGAGUGAGACCACAAGCUGUUGAUGAUAGCGUUUACUGAGGUCACACGGCGCUCUCGAUUCGACACAUAGGAUGAUUUUUUUCACUUGUUUUAAACUAUAAUAGUUCCUGCGAAUGAUCUGUGUCUUCAGAAUCAUCAGGAACUUUUCUUGGGAACUUUUUUACUUUGCUGUUGUGUUUUACAUCUGGUGUUACCAUGGAAACCAGAUUUAAUGCAGCCUAAGCCCGAAAAUACAGACAUUUACCUGCAAGGUUAAAAUUCGGACAUAGCUUCGGGUUCUGAAAAGUACUUUUUUCUUAUAUAAUGGCCAACAGGGGGCGACUCCUCUGGAUGGUUUAGUUGUCUUUGACACAUUGACCUUUGGCUCUCCCAAUCUAUAACCUCAUUAAAGACUUUCCUGGUGGCUCUAUGGUCGCAAUCAAUACCUUAUAGUGUUCCUUUUUAAAUAACGAUCUCUGUUAGAGUCAAAAAUGACAAUGACUCGGGGUACGAGCAUGUGACUUAAAACUCCUGGCAGUAUCAAGUUUCUCGUCUGGUUUCAACACCAAGACGCUUCUGGACGAUUCAGUAAGGGAUGGCUCAUCACAUUAGCUACAUCCAUCAUCUUUACUCAGUAUAUGAAUGUAAUGCACAGUAUAAAAGUUGGGCUUUAAUGCACAAGUUCAAAAUCAACACAUAAACAGGUCGACGCGCUGCAGGUGCAUGUCAGCAAAUUCAUAUUUUCCACACACUCAAAACGUGGUUAGAUGGAUGCAGCAGGGAGACAGAGUUUGGUUCUGUUGAAGGAUCACCGCCUCCAUCUGCUCUCUCUGAUACCUGUUUAAAUAUUUUAUAAUACAGCCUAAUGAAACAUGAAGAGCCCGGCUUUUCCAAACAAUUAAGCAUAAUGAGUGUCUCUCAGAGAUCGUGGCGCUAAAACUAAAAGGCAACAACUGGGAAAUCAAACAUGUCAAAGACAGAACUGAAACUCUACACUGAUGGAAGCACAGUCCGGAUCCAGCAUCCGGGCCCGCUCUUUACCGCCAGCCGACUGAGCCUAGUUUCGAAUUGACGGACGUCGGCGGUAACCAAUCAGCGCCUGCCGUGCGCCAAAGCCGUGUUUAUUCCACUUAGCCGACCAAUCCGAGCCGUCCUCUGCGGCCAAGUGCGUCAUCAGAGUAGAAUGUGAAUGUGGGCUGCCUGUUACCGGAGCACACUUUGCUCCCAUCCCCCAUCAACACUGAGCAAUGGCGGCUACCCUUUUUUGCGUGCCGCUUUGUCCUUCUCAGUUCAGCUUGUAAAAGCCAUGUGUACAAAAGUCGGUAAGGAAAAUACGUGUUUGCCCUUGUGUUUCAUAAGAAUGCGCGUCAGUUCAUGAGCACAUUAUAAUUAUUUUCCGCACUUCUCUCAUCGCAUGUCUUUUAUGUCGCACUGCUUUUUUUCCCUCCUCCACGGCGGGGCAUUUCUCUGUGGGUCCUAACAAUGGAGGCGGAGGAAAUGAGCCACCAGCACUGUUCACUGCACCCGCUCACUGAGCCCGAACAGCCCGAAUCACGGCGUCAGAGCCGGCUGUGUGUGUGUUGUUCGACGGGCACUGUGUUUAUUUGUGUCUCGACCUUGGCGCACGAAUUUAUGGGCUGUUAUGUAAAAAAAAAAAAAAAGCCCUCAAGAGUGUCAAGUGCGCACAUACAGGGAUGAGUUUCAAACAUGGACGUCGGGAAGGGGCGGGGCGACGAAGAGCUGCGAUGUGACAUGGCGGCGCCGCUCCACAUUUACACUCUGAGCGCCUUGUAUCUGACUGAUGUUGUUCACAUGGAGCUUGAGAUGUGACACUAACUUUUGGGGAGAAAAGCCCGAUUUAAUCCGUAAUAACAUCCGUGUCGUCCACGUUUCCCUCCCAAACACUUCGCCUCUAUUCCCCCGUCGCGGCGGUGGGCGGGAGAAACCGUCUGAAGUCGCCGCUUGACUCGUCCAGACGCACAUCAAUCAAUCAAAGUGACACUACGUCAACCGAAGCGCUCUCGAUUCGACAUAUUUACUGCGUAACUCGACGGAAACUCGAUUUUCUUGCGCUCACGGUGCUGUGGAGCUGCCACGGUUCCGGCUCCGGUCCGUUUUGUGGGCUUUUAUCGACUCUGAUUAUUGUUUUAGGGGAGAAAGGGACGGUUGCAGCGAUAGAAUAGGAGGGGGCGUGGCCUUUGGGUUAAGAAAUCCUAUCCAUUGUUACUCUACGCGCUAGGAGAACACCUCUGCCGAGCCUCUGGCCAAUCAGAGACCACCGACCUCAUGAAGACCCCGCCCACAAGCCUAUAUUAAAGGCUCGGCCGUCAGAAGCAUUGGCCACUGGCACAAUAUAAUACUGAUUGAUCCGCUAACCGAGACGAGGGGAUUUACUUUAUUCAACCUUUCAUUUCAGCCGUCCUUUAUUUUAUUCUACUAAACAAUGGCAGACACACAGGUCGACUCCGGCUCGGAUAUCUCUGCCAAGGUAAGCCGCCGCACACCUCCAUUCGCGGGGCCGUGUCUCCGCGGAGCCCCCUUACAAGAAUAAAGCUCUCCAGGCUCUAACCUACAUUUAAAACCUCUCCGUCGUCGCUUCGCGCUCGCUCGGACUCUGUGGAGUCUGAGGUGGAGAAGAAAAGUCGGUGUUCGCGUCUUUCCCCCUGAACUCUGUGUGUAGAGGGAAGUGGGGGGUCUCGGCACCGCAUCACGGGCAGCGUUAAAGCGCCGCGGCUCAUUGUCCGGAGCGUCCCGGUCUGCGCGGGUCUUUGUUUCUGCCAGCAGCUCGGUUCUCCUGCUGCUCCACGCGCACAUCCAAGCGGGACCCGGACACCGAGCAGCUCCGGUCCCCCGGCUCGCUCCCCGCGGGGUUUUCGGGCUCGUUGUGAGCGCCGGGGCGCCGCGCACAUCUAUCCCGCAUCUCGGGCUCUUAACGCGUUUAGAUCGAGGGGAGGUUCCGUUCCCGGUGCAGGGACUCGGUCGGGUCGCAUUACCGGGAGCGGUGACGGAGUGAGCGGCCGGUGGAUGCGUGGACGCGGACCUCCAGCCCGGGGUUUGCUCCGUUUGAAUGGAGGACAGCGCGUCAGGCGGUGCGUAGUCCUCCGCUGAACUUUCGGUUCUGCACUUUUCCUCCCGCCUUUUUUAUUUCUUAUUUCCGUGAGCCCGUUUGUUAACGCCACCGAUCUGCCUGCACCGUCUGACCCCGUUUGUUUACCGACUCCGGAAGGUCGGCGGCCGCCGCUGCUCCAGCCUCAGCUGCUCCGGUCUCCGCUCCCGGAGCGCGUGAGCGGUUGUGAGCGCGGGGCUUCCGCUUUGCUUUGGUGUUUUCGGGGCUUGUUUGCAGGGCGCGCUUCGGUCUCAGGGGAAACUUUUCUUUCUUUUUUUGUAAUGCAGCCACUUCUUUCUGUGUGUGUGUGUGUGUGUGUGUGUGUGUGUGUGUGUGUGUGUGUGUGUGUGUGUGUGUGUGCGUGAGCGCGCGUGGCCGGGCUGUGGAGGUGUGAUGUGACGUUGCUGGUUUUCCCCUCUUUCUGCGGGUUUUUCCUCCGUUUAAACGUUUGAGCUGCUUUUGUUGUGAAAACGCGAGUUUUUGUGCGCGUGGACUUUGGAUCAGAUCGGGUAAAAGUUUAAUCGCCCCCGCGGGGGGAGUUGUGGCUCCGCGGACCGCGAUCAUCCCGGGAAUCAGAGCAGCAGCGAGCCCGAUAAUUCUGAGCGAUUGUAACAAAUGUCCAUUUGGAGGAGGUGGUGAAGGUGUAGAGGGGAAAAGUUGGACAGGCAUUAGCGCGGGUAAUCCGGGGAGCCUGUUCACUAUUUUUAGUUGUGGAGCGUUUUUACGCACAGGCGCGUUUUUACGCGCAGCGCGCGGCCAGGCUGCUCUCCUCCUGCCGCUUAACAGCUUAAUGGAUUUCAACCAAUAAGAUUAUGGAGAGCAAUUAAUCAAUAACAGCCUACGUGUGGAUGCGUGAGGCGCGCGUGUGGCGGGGAUAAUAGGCUAUGAGGGAACAAAACGAGGAAGAGAAGCGGCGUUAGUGCGCGCUGAGCUCGAGCACGGAGGCGGAAGGUGCCGUGUCUUCGCUCGCCUGCCAUGUGUCGUCUUCUAUUGUCCUUUCCUGCCUCCGUUACAACGAGCAGUAGCAGCAGCGUGCAUCGCGCUCUCUCCGCCGCCUCCUCCUCCUCCAUCACCGACCCCUCCUCCUGCUCCCUCCCUGCUCCUGCGCCCUCCUGUGUUAUUUUAAACGGGGUGCAUCCUGGGUAUUGCAGUGCCUCUCCCGGGCGUGUCUCGUGACAUAUGGCGGCGACAGCGGCCCAUAGAAGACUACAAUACCCAGAAUGCCCCGCGGGCCACAUCAAAGUAUCAGAUUACAACACAUUAGAGGGGAUGGAGUGGGAGGAGAGGGAAGAGGUGGGGGGAGGAUCUGCGGAGACCAAUAUGGUGUUUAAAUAGGAAGGCAGAAAAACGUGCAGCUCCCAGCAAGCACUGGGACGCUGCUAAGUAGGCCAGUAGGUAGAAGGGCAGGUAGCGGUGGGCGGAGUCUAAACCCAGCAGCGCGUUUUGCUGGGCAGAUGAGCAGGUUCAGUUUCUGAUGUUUGCUUCUGUUUGUUUCCAGGACCUGAAAGAGAAGAAGCUGGUGGAGGAGAAGGAGAACGGCAAAGACGCCGCCACCAAUGGGAAGGUGAGCGCCAUCGCCGCCGCCGCAGCAGCUCUCUGCACAGAGUCGGACAUUUUUAACCAUUUUUGUAUUUUCCAGGAGAAUGAAGAGAACGGUGAGCCCGAGGUAGAUGACGAGGAGGACGAGGAGGUGGACGAGGAAGAAGAGGAAGAUGAUGGAGAAGGUGAUGAGGAAGAUGAGGAGGAGGACGACGACGAGAUUGAGGGUGGCACAAAACGGGCAGCUGAGGAUGACGAGGACGACGACGAGGUGAGGCAGCGGCGCUUAAACGCCCUUAAAUCGAGCGUCGCCGUGACACCCAGCAGGCGCCGGUCUAACCCGCCACCGUCUUCUCUUCUUUCAGGACGACGUCGAAACCAAGAAGCAGAAAACCGACGAUGACGAUUGAUGCGUUUCCCCCGCGCCAUCCUGCUGAACCACUUCCUGAUUCUUCACCUCUGACCAUUUUUCUAUGUCGCAGGUGGAGGGGCUGGAGGACUGAUUUAAAGGAAAAAAUAAUAAUAAUAAAAAAAAUCCAACAUGGUCAUUAGCAAGUAGAGUUCAACAAACACCCGCCACGCCCACACCCACCCGAGCUCCCCUCGACGCUGCGAGACAAAUUUUCUAGAGGAACCCGCCACCGCAUCGACGACGCAGAAAUCCGGCUUCUCUUCAGCAACAACACAAAAGGAGAAUUUGUUUGUAUUUUUAUUUACAUUUUAUAUUUUUGUACAUAUUGUUAGGAGAGGGGAGGGGGGCAGUUUCUCUCUCGGCAGCGAUCCCGUCAGACCAAAUCGGUGCUUCUCUAACGAAAGAUUUUACUUGGUUGACCAUGUUACGAUAUCUCAACAGAUCUUAGAAAAACGUGUAAAAAAAUAAAAUGAAUAAAAACAUGAAAGACAACCUCUUAAGCCGUUGAACUCAGAGCAUUCCAGUAAAUUUAAUGUAUGUACUUUAGCUGUACCAUAACUAGUUUGUUUGUAUGGGAGGGUAAGGCCAAAGAAAAGAGCCUCUUUUCUUUUUCCUUUCUUUUGGUUUUUUUUCUUUUGGUUUUGUUUUUGUCAGCGACUUUUUGUUUUAUGACGGCCUGUUUUGAUGUAUGUGCAAAGUUUGUUGUUUGACAAUAAACCGGACUUUUAUUUUGUGAGUUGUACUUUGUAUCUCUGCCCCUUUUUAUUUGUGCUUUGCUCUCCUGUGAGGAAGAGGAAGCAGUGCAGGUAAACCUGAGGUCUGCUUUUACUUUAGGGUCACAACAGCGAGGAGGUGGGUCCAGCACAUCUUAUUGGACAUUUUACACUCAUUACAUCCAUAUAAUUCAUAUUACAUAAAAGUUAAGGUUUGGUACUAAAAUAAACUGGCGGUUCCAAAAGACUAAAUGUGGUUUAUUUCUUUUGGAUUUUUCUCUUCUUUUUGUCUAUAUUGCAAACAUGCAAACAGAAGCAGUUCUGAUAGUUGAAAGUUGUAAGAAUAACAUAAUGUGUCACAUAAAUAAGGGUUUCUGCAUGAAUUUAAAGUCUUAACAUUAAAAUAAAGCAUAUUAAGGUCUGAGAAGCUGAUCUGUA
ensembl:lncRNA